rnacentral:lncRNA from 1 species
UCUCAUUUCUGUCUCGACACUCUAUCUCAAAGAAACCCUAGACGCCUUUGUAUCCUCCGUCGGCUCCACCUUUGCCGCCCGGAAAUCGCCUUACAUCGCUGGAGCUUCUCCAAACUACUCCAAAUUAACACCAGGCAAUCCCCUUUCCCUCCUUUUUUUCAAAUCCCCAAAUCAUUUUCCUCAAAUCUUGAUCAAACUGCUCGAAUCUUGGACCUGAAAUCCAGACCUAAAAAUCCUAAGUCAACCAAACAGCCCUAAACUCACACCAUAGGACCCUCAACCAUCAUUCACCACUAUCCUACCCUUGAUUUUCAAAAAAUUCCCGCCAAAUUCUUCAAAUCUUAAAUCUAAGAUCCACAAAACACAAACGUUUUUUCCUUUUUCGAUUUUUCGGUCAAUUCCUUAUGUGUUCGAACCCAAAACUUCCAUUAGUCGACUGCGCUGGUUGAUAGCAGUCGAUGAAUGGUAGUUCAAGUUCAUUUUACCCCGUUGAAGCUUGGUCAAAUUCAUAGCUGGUCCAGUUUUAAAACGAGCUUAGAUAAUUUCUUUCACUUUUCUGUUUAUUUUAUCUUUUUUUGUUGUUCUUCUUCAUGUUUAAUUACUUCUUCCAGUUGCAUGUUUUAGGUUUGCAACUUCAGGUUUUUUUUCUUUUGUUCACGACUGUUUAGUUUAUUUAGUUGCUUCAGUGUAGUAGGUAAAUUAAAGCAUGCUGGAAUUUCACUACUUGAAGUAUAUCUUCAAUUCCAGGAAUUUAAUUUAAUUAGGGUUCACUUUUAGGUUUGAUACACAAAAUAGUUCUUCUGUUUCUUCCAUCUUCCAUCUUAAACUUAUGUUCAGUGUUUGUUUUGGG